rnacentral:snRNA from 1 species
GUUCUUUCGAGGACAUAUGAUAAAAUCGAAAUGAUACAGAAAAAUUAACAUGACCUUUCUAAGAGGAUGACACUAUGAGAAACUUCAUAAACUACA